rnacentral:rRNA from 1 species
UUUGUAGAAGGUGCUUCGGGUGCGAUGCCGGCCUAAGUCCUUUGGAACGGGGCGUCAUAGAGGGUGAGAAUCCCGUACGCGGUUGGCAAACAAUCCCUUGCGAAGUCCUUUCGACGAGUCGAGUUGUUUGGGAAUGCAGCUCCAAAUGGGUGGUAAAUUUCAUCUAAAGCUAAAUAUCUGCCAGAGACCGAUAGCGCACAAGUAGAGUGAUCGAAAGAUGAAAAGCACUUUGAAAAGAGAGUUAAAAAGUACGUGAAAUUGUUGAAAGGGAAGCGCUUGCAACCAGACUCGCUCGCGGGUGCUCAGCCGCCCUUCGGGGGCGGUGCACUCACCCGCGUCGGGCCAGCAUCGGUUUCGGCGGCCGGAUAAAGGUCCCGGGAACGUAGCUCCUUCCGUUGAGUGUUAUAGCCCGGGGCGUAAUGCGGCCAGCCGGGACCGAGGAUCGCGCUCCUGCCAGGAUGC